AUUUUUGAUUAAAAUCUGUCAUUAAUUGAGGGCCCCAUUUCAUUCAUUACCAAGCCCCUCUCUCUCUUCUUAUGGCCGGCCACCUCACCCCCAUUGCUUCUCUCUCUAAUUGCCGCCUCACCACCUCUUAAUUACCUUCCAAAUACCUCCCCUCUCAAACAUAAUUUCAGCUUUUAUUCCAGAUUUCAAAAUCUGAGAUUGGAAAUCAAGAUUAUUCCCUCUCAGAUUUCCUCUCCUCCUCUACUUCACGUGGCUUGUUUUCCAUAAGUCUUGCUGCUAAGUUUUUCCUCCCUAAAAUGAGAGUUGGAAUUCCUCUCAGAUUUUUGAGGGAAGAAAAUCUGAAACAUUUCAGAUUCCUCCAAAGAAUUACUUCAGCUUUGUAGAAGAAUUUGGAAAAACGGGAAGUCUUCUCAGAUUUUGGUUCCAAAAAUCUGAAAUUCCUUUUUCUGGAUUUUGGUGAGCCUGAAAUCUUCCUACCGGGAUUGCGGUCCAGAAGUUCAGAGAAUUGACAUCUUCCUUAUUGCUGCUUCACCUGCAACCCGUGAUUUAGAAGAUCCGGAACGUGUACUUGCCCCUCUUCCCGGGUGUUCCUUAGUGCAAGGAGGUUCGUGGUUGCUGUCCACUUCAUUCCCAACUUUCAAACAACCUUGCCGGAGUGCGUAUCCCUUUUGUCUUUGGAUCACCGGCCAAGUCCUCAUAGUCAGGUCUUAGAUGAGUUGGAGUCGCAUCUUUUUCUGAAUGGACUCGUCUUAGCUUUCGGCUUGCGGAACGAAACUGCAUGGCGCAGACCUGCAAUCUAAGGCUCCGUUUGGGACGGCUGUAGUUGUCGGUAAAAUAAGUUGUGAAGUUAUUGUCCAAAAAGCUGCUUUAUAAAUUUGCAGUAUAUAAAUCAAUAAAUUUUAUUUGGGUAGUA